AUACGGAGGGUGCAAGCGUUAUUCGGAAUCACUGGGCGUAAAGGACGCGUAGGCGGGUUGGCAAGUCAGAUGUGAAAUCCUACAGCUUAACUGUAGAACUGCAUUUGAAACUGCUAACCUAGAGUAUGGGAGGGGGAGAUGGAAUUAGUGGUGUAGGGGUAAAAUCCGUAGAUAUCACUAGGAAUACCGAAAGCGAAGGCGAUCUCCUGGAACAUAACUGACGCUAAGGCGUGAAAGCGUGGGGAGCAAACAGGAUUAGAUACCCGCGUAGUCC
rnacentral:rRNA from 1 species